rnacentral:rRNA from 1 species
GAUGAACGCUGGCGGCGUGCCUAAUACAUGCAAGUCGAGCGAACAGACGAGGAGCUUGCUCCUUUGACGUUAGCGGCGGACGGGUGAGUAACACGUAGGUAACCUACCUAUAAGACUGGGAUAACUUCGGGAAACCGGACCUAAUACCGGAUAAUAUUUCGAACCGCAUGGUUCGAUAGUGAAAGAUGGCUUUGCUAUCACUUAUAGAUGGACCUGCGCCGUAUUAGCUAGUUGGUAAGGUAACGGCUUACCAAGGCAACGAUACGUAGCCGACCUGAGAGGGUGAUCGGCCACACUGGAACUGAGACACGGUCCAGACUCCUACGGGAGGCAGCAGUAGGGAACCUUCCGCAAUGGGCGAAAGCCUGACGGAGCAACGCCGCGUGAGUGAUGAAGGUCUUCGGAUCGUAAAACUCUGUUAUUAGGGAAGAACAAACGUGUAAGUAACUGUGCACGUCUUGACGGUACCUAAUCAGAAAGCCACGGCUAACUACGUG